AUCAGUGAAAACCACGUGAUCAUCCACGAGUGCGGUGCAGAGUCGCUGAGAUAACCGGAACGGCAGAUGCUGGAGAAUCCGAGAUAACACGGUGUGCAGCUGGAUGUACACAGCAGGUCAAGCAGCAUCAGAGGAGCAGGAAAGCUGACGUUUCGGGCCUAGAUCCCUCGCUGAGACCAAGAUUUGUGCAAUUGAGAUACCAGCGAUCGUUGCCAAAGCCCUGUUACCUGUGGAGAAGGUGAUGUUUAACUUUCGUGUGCUACUGCAGUUUGUAUGAUAAAGGAUAUUACAAGUGGACUUUCAGGUAGGAAGCUCAAUAAUUGUAACACCAAACUCUGACAGAAUUACUCAAUUCAAUCAGGACCUGGAUAUUCGCAUUGUGUAUUUCCACAAUUUUACUUCUGCACUGCUCUUACUCUUUCAGAGGGAUUGAAAGGUGGAGUUACAGAUCUAUACAAUGACUGUCCUUCCUCGCUGGCUCUCCCAAUUCUCUCUUUUGGUAGUUUGAUGCAAACACUGACUGGAUCCCUUACCUGGAGGAUAUUUAUGAAUGAAUUUGUUCUAAUGGUGAUCCAGCAUAUUCCCCAAGUGUUGCUGUACACAUGUCCAGAGAAUUUCUCAGUUUCACAAUCUGUGUCCUUCUGGUUUCUUACUUACUUUCUCUUUGAAAGUAUAGUCUGCAGUUGGAGAAUUUAAACAGGCCCACAUCCAGGUCUGACGGUCACUUUGUUUAUCACAACCCAAUUUUCUCAGGAUUUUGAACAUUGAAGGAAAAAGCAGCACUCACAUUGGGGAGAAAUGCACAUGGUGUGUGUGUUGAAGAGUCUGUGAAGAUUCAUCUGAAAUGUCCGAACACCAGUGCAGUGACACUGGGAGACAGUGUGGAAAUGUGCAGAUUGCAGGAAGGAAUUUCUUCAUCCAUCCCAGCUAGAAACUGACCACCAGAGUCACACUGGAGAGAGACCAUUGACCUGUUCUGCGUGAGGGAAAGGCUUUGCUGACUCGAAUUCCCCGCUGAUACACCAGCGAGUUCACUCUGGGGAGAGACCUUUCAUGAGCUCUGUGUGGGAAGGGAUUCAUUGUCAUCCAAACUGUUAACACACCAGCGAGUUCGCAGACAACCACAGUUGAAGAACAUUGCUGUCACUCUCACUAUCAAAUAAACCAUGGUGUUGGGCUGUUUGUACAGAUGUUACCGAUACCUGCUCAAUUAAAGGUGCUGGUAUUGUGAAUAAAAUGUCACACUAACAGUUGUGUAAGGUAGAGCUUGGAAAUAGUCACGUUGUCACAACACAUCGACACAUUCACACUGACUAAAGACUAUCCACCUGCAUGAUAUGUGAAAAGGGAUUUCCUGGUACGUUCCUGGUUAACGACCAGCAAAUUUCUGAAUAAGUUGAUUGGUUUGAAUAUAGCUAACAGUAGAAUCAAAAAUAGUAUCAGUGAUAAUGGGAACUGCAGAUGCUGGAGAAUCCAAGAUAACAAAAAGUGUGGAGCUGGAUGAACACAGCAGGCCAAGCAGCAUCUCAGGAGCACAAAAGCUGACUUUUCGGGCCUAGAGAAGGGUCAAGGCCUGAAACGUCAGCUUUUGUGCUCCUGAGAUGCUGCUUGGCCUGCUGUGUUCAUCCAGCUCCACACUUUGUUAUAGUCGAUUCAAAAACCAUGUGUUUUGGGCUUGUUUCUGGAGAUCAUAGAAUCCCUCCACUGUGGGAGCAGACCACUUAGCCCAUCAAGUCCGCACUGACCUGACGAAGAUUGUCUUACCUAGACACUGUCUGCGUGAGUUUCCUCCAGAUGCUCUGGUUUCCUCCCACAGUCCAAAAAUGUGCAAAUUAUGUAGAUUCACUAUGCUAAAUUGCCCAUAGUAUCUUGUGUGCAAAAUGCAGGGAUAGGGUAGGGUGUGAGACUGGUUGGGAUGCUCUUUGCAGGGUUGAUAUUGACUGAAUGGCCAUCUUCCACACUGUAGGAAUUCUGUGAUGAUCUCGAUGGCCCUUUAUUUGUUAGAUAGGUCUGCACACCUUUACAAUGACAGAUUCUGUUGCUCUCCCACAGACAUUUGUUUAUUGGAAACAAUGUAAUCUUUCAGUUUGUGGAUAAAAAUCAAAGGAAUGUUUUAAAUCCAAACAUAGGAUUGGGUUGAGUCAUGUCCUAUAAUCCCUGAUUUGCAUUUUCCCCGUCGGCUAUGAAACCUGGUGACCGCUGUGACUCUGCCUGGGAGCAUUGCAGUCUCGUCAGCUCUUUACCUGGUGUCCAUAGCAGUGAUGGAUCUCAUGACGGAAACAUAAACCAAAACAUUGUGUGAUUUCUAGUACAUAUUUUCUAUUUAGUCUUCUGUCCAUCACUUCCCUAGAGGCUGAGAUACUGGUCUGGGGACCUAGGUGUGAAUCCAUCUGGAAAUAAGAAUGUGAUGAUGACUGUCAAUCCAUUGCCUUUGUUGGAAAAACCCAUCUGUUCACCGAUGGCCUACAGGGAAGGAAACUGCCAUUCUUAUCCAGUGAUGUGAUCAUCCCAUGAAUGAAUUUUUUAAAAAAAUUAAAAACUCCUGCAAAUACGUUAAA